UGAGCUGGCAGCUGCUGCGCCCGGGACGCCCCCCGCCCUCCCACAUUCCCCGGGCUGGCAAGUGCAGACCUGAAAGUCACCUGGACCUCUCUCGGUGGCCCGAAGCCCGUCCGAGCCCGGAAGCGCUCCAGUUUUCUUGCCCAGCUUUACCCCAGAUGAAGACACAUCUUUUAUGUUCUUUCCCAAGACAAAGCCCUUGUGUGAGCAACUGGUCCUGAGGACAGAGUGAGACAGAGAGAGAGACCGCAGUCACACAUCCCUGCCAGGUGAUGCAUGGUCAGGCCUCGCAGGCCCUCUCCACCACUGUUUUGGGAGCUGCCUCCCUGUCAAGGCCUCUUCCAGACCUGGCCUCCUCUUCUCCCUGGUACCUCCUCCAGGGAUGGAUCCUGAGACAGAACGACAGGGGACAGAGUCCGUGGGGCACAGCUCUGAACACUAACAUUCAUGAUGAAUAUUGAAGUAAGAGAUAUUAUAUAUAAUGCUUCCCAACUACUCUUUGUAAAUCAAAAUUUAUUUAAACAGGUUAAUCUUGUAACUACAGUAAGUUAAGCUCUUGGUACACAGAAAUAGAUAAUAUGUUUCAAGUGUUCCUCAUUGUGAGACCAUUCAUAAACACUGUUAUGGGACUUUGGUAGCCAGCUCCAACCAGUACUGUCUUUCCCUGUCCAGAAACACUGGAAAAGGAAAACAUGCACUCAGGAAAUUCACUUCCAAGUGAGCUUCAUUUAUAAAUAUCCUGCAAGUUACACUUCCGUCCAGCUGCAGUUUGAGUGACUGUAUAAUCACUACCACAGUGAAACCAAAUGAGAGAAAAUUCAAUGUUGAUUCAUAAGAAAAAGUUGACGUUGCUGGAUCAAGAGGAGAUACUUGCUCUAUCCUGAGAUCACAUGACCUUUGAGACUUUACUAAUGAGAUUCACGUUUAUGUAGUACACACUUACAGAACACUAUCCCCCAAAUCCUAACCUGUCCAGUGUCCAUCUGAGAUACUACAUAAUACCUGAGGGUCAGUACCGACUAGCUGUGUAAAGCACAUGAUGGAAACCUCACCAGACCCGGGCAGUUCCGUGCAUGCAUCCGGCUGCAGGUACAGCCUGAUCUAGGUCUCAAGCAGUAUUCUCCCUGUGUCACCUCUGACUUCUGCUUCCCUGAGAACUUGGUACCCCACAAAACCCCAAGCAUGGAUGUUUGUGGCAGUUGUGUUAUAAUAGCCAGAUGCUGGAGUCAGGUGGGACGUCCUUCAGAGGGGGAGUGGUGAGCAGACUGACAGGUGCACACCAGGGAGCGCGGUCAGCACUGAAGUGGAAAAGAAGAACAAAUGAGGAAUCGCUACGUGGAGAAUGACUCCCGAGAAGGUGUAACUCCAUUUACACAACAUCUUGAAAUGACGUUUUGGAGACAGUACACAUUAGUAGCUGCAGGGGUCAGCAGUGGAGGUAGGUUUGCAGGGAGAGGGAGGGAAGUGAUGCACUUAUAAAAGACCGGCUUGAGGAAUCCGUGUGGCGUUGGGCAGUGCAGUGUCUUGAUUGUGGUGGUGGACCCAAAACCUACACAGAUGAAAACAUUCUGUAAAACUUAGCACACACACUGACGCAGACACAAAUAAGUACGGGAAAUGCGGGAAGUCUGAAGAAGGUGAGUGGACCAAAUGAGCAUCCACGUCCUGGUGGUGAUACUGUAUGACAGUUAUGCAAAUGUGAUUGUUGGGAGAAAUUGGGCAAAGUUUACAAAGGAUCUCUGUGUUAUUUCUUAACAACUGCGUGUGAAUCUGCAAUUACCUCAGUAAAGUCUUUAAUAAAGAUGUCGGUAGUGUUUA